rnacentral:rRNA from 1 species
AUGUCGUCUUCUUCCUUUGGGUCUUCUGCUUCUCGCGGUGGAGGGGUUCGACGGAGAGGCGUACCAGCAAGGUCGCCGGUGCCCUAUCGGGAGCAGCCUAUGGACUAUGAGCCCGCAGUUGUCUGCGCCCGUUGUGGGAGGAAGGCACCGCGCUGGAUCUCCUGGAGUCCGGCAAACCCUGGAAGAAGAUACUAUGCUUGCGUAGAAGCUCAGGUAUGGUUGAUUCCAUCUUCUCUGUUGUGUUUCUCUGAUCUGGAUUGUUCCUCUCUCUGCUUUGUUCAUUCUUCUUUGUUUGACAAAAUUCUAAAUAAUUGA